rnacentral:rRNA from 1 species
UACGGAGGGUGCAAACGUUGCUCGGAAUCAUUGGGCGUAAAGCGCACGUAGGCGGUCCGACAAGUCGGGUGUGAAAGCCCUCGGCUUAACCGAGGAAGAGCACCCGAAACUAGCGGGCUAGAGUACCGGAGAGGGUGACGGAAUUCCCGGUGUAGAGGUGAAAUUCGUAGAUAUCGGGAGGAACACCAGCGGCGAAGGCGGUCAUCUGGACGGAUACUGACGCUGAGGUGCGAAAGCGUGGGGAG